rnacentral:SRP_RNA from 1 species
GUCAACUUCGUCGUCUCCGUUCAGAUUCUCCUGUACUUCUCGAUUUUCGUCUUCAUCGCCGGCAUCCUCAAGGUCGGCUUCAGCUACAGCUAUUUCUAGGGA